UCUGCCUCCUGUGAGGCUGUGAGCCUGUGACCCCGCCUUGCGACGUGAUCGCUGCCGCUGUGGCGCCUUCGCCGGAGCUUGCUGAUCCACUCUGCAGUUCCUUCCCGUCUACAGCUCUCCUCUCCCGCGUGCUGAGCCCUGUUGACGGCGACGGCGGCGGUUCGUCGGUGUGGGCGUAAGUGUAGGUGCUGUCGGGGCGGCUCUGCGGGGACGGUGCCGGCGCCGUCGGCGUCGGAAGAUCGGAGUGCAGCCGUCGUUGAUCGCCGGACGCACAUUUCUACACCUCACCCGUCUCGGCCGCCAUUCUGAUUACUUAGCUUCUGGACGACAUGGGUGCUGAGUCUGGUCUGUAGAAAAGCUAUGUUAAGUGGGAUGAAGCUAACCAAGAUAUAAUUAUGGGGAAACUGGUCUGUAGUCGAGAAGAUAAGCACAUGAAGAGAGAAGAUAGGAAGAGGUGGCCACAUAAUCUCACUCUUGCUGGGUGUCGAGCCAAAUUUGUCGUUGCAAGAGUCAAGAAAAUGGGUCUGUGGUCUGUGAAGGAUUUCGUCGAUGAGCACACCCAUCCUUUUCAAUAAUACAUAAAGUAGAUUGCAAAGCUGAAUAGUAAUACACAUUUUAUGUUCUGCAAGAACAAAGAAAGAGUUAAUUUGACAACCUGGAUAUAUUGACGUACAUGUAAUAUUAUGCUGAA